UGGGGCGUGGCCAAGUGGUAAGGCAACGGGUUUUGGUCCCGCUAUUCGGAGGUUCGAAUCCUUCCGUCCCAGC
rnacentral:tRNA from 6 species